rnacentral:rRNA from 1 species
CUGCGAAUGGCUCAUUAUAUCAGUUAUAGUUUAUUUGGUGAAGGAUACUAAUUGGAUAACCGUAGUAAUUCUAGGGCUAAUACAUGAGUAAAGUCCCRUUGGGAUGUGUUUAUUAGAAUGAAAACCAUAUGCUUCGGCAUGAUAGUGAGUAAUAGUAACCUAUCGUAUCGCAUGCUUAAUGUAGCGAUGAGUCUUUCAAGUUUCUGCCCUAUCAGCUUUCGAUGGUAGCAUAUGGGUCUACCAUG